CAUUCUGUUCAUUCCAUUCUCAUACACCUCUGUGCACUUUACAUAGGUUUGGUAUAGAAAAGGUCUUUAUUGACUUUGGAAAUACUGACCUAUGCUUUUAUAAACGCUUCAGUUUUAGAAUGUCAUCCGCGUAUAACGCAAUAAAUACAACUUUCAGCAGCGGAUCUCUUGGCUCUCGCAUCGAUGAAGAACGCAGCGAAAUGCGAUAAGUAAUGUGAAUUGCGGAAUUCAGUGAAUCAUCGAAUCUUUGAACGCAUCUUGCGCCCUUUGGUAUUCCGAAGGGCAUGCCUGUUUGAGUGUCAUGGUAUCCUCAAUACCCCAAAUCUUUGCGGAUAAGGGUGUGUUGGACUUGGAGGUUUUUGCAGGUAAUGAUUGUAUUACCAGCUCCUCUUAAAUGCAUUAGCAGAGAUAAUACUGCUACUCUCCAGUGUGAUAAUUGUCUACACUGUUAGUAGUGCGGUAUAACAAAAUGUCUAUGCUUCUAAUCGUCUUCGGACAACUUUUGACAAUCUGACCUCAAAUCAGGUAGGACUACCCGCUGAACUUAAGCAUAUCAAUAAGCGGAGGAAAAGAAACUAACAAGGAUUCCCCUAGUAACUGCGAGUGAAGCGGGAAAAGCUCAAAUUUAAAAUCUGGCAGUCUUUGGCUGUCCGAGUUGUAGUCUGGAGAAGCGUCUUCCGCGC
rnacentral:rRNA from 1 species